GAUGAACGCUGGCGGCGUGCUUAACACAUGCAAGUCGAACGGAAAGGCUCCUGCUUGCAGGGGUACUCGAGUGGCGAACGGGUGAGUAACACGUGGGUGAUCUGCCCUGCACUUCGGGAUAAGCCUGGGAAACUGGGUCUAAUACCGGAUAGGACGAUGGUUUGGAUGCCAUUGUGGAAAGUUUUUCGGUGUGGGAUGAGCUCGCGGCCUAUCAGCUUGUUGGUGGGGUAAUGGCCUACCAAGGCGUCGACGGGUAGCCGGCCUGAGAGGGUGUACGGCCACAUUGGGACUGAGAUACGGCCCAGACUCCUACGGGAGGCAGCAGUGGGGAAUAUUGCACAAUGGGCGCAAGCCUGAUGCAGCGACGUCGCGUGGGGGAUGACGGCCGUCGGGUUGUAAACUCCUUUCGCUAGGGACGAAGCGCAAGUGACGGUACCUGGAGAAGAAGCACCGGCUAACUACGUG
rnacentral:rRNA from 1 species